rnacentral:rRNA from 1 species
GUCGCCUCCUAAAAGGUAACGGAGGCGCUCAAAGGUUCCCUCAGAAUGGUUGGAAAUCAUUCAUAGAGUGUAAAGGCAUAAGGGAGCUUGACUGCGAGACCUACAAGUCGAGCAGGGUCGAAAGACGGACUUAGUGAUCCGGUGGUUCCGCAUGGAAGGGCCAUCGCUCAACGGAUAAAAGCUACCCCGGGGAUAACAGGCUUAUCUCCCCCAAGAGUUCACAUCGACGGGGAGGUUUGGCACCUCGAUGUCGGCUCAUCGCAUCCUGGGGCUG